rnacentral:lncRNA from 1 species
AAAAAAAGUCACUACAUGCAUAUUAUUAAAAAAAAAUACUCACUGCAUGCAUAUUAAAAAAAAGUCAACAACAUGUAUAUUAAAAAAAUAGUCAUACACACCAACAAUCACUGCAUGCAUAUUAUUAAAAAAUACUCACUGCAUGCAUAUUAAGAAAUAGUCAACAACAUGUAUAUUAAAAAAAACAGUCAUACACACUAACAAUCACUGCAUGCAUAUUAAAAAAAAUAGUCAUAGACACAUACA